rnacentral:lncRNA from 1 species
CCAAGUAUGGGAAGUUCUGAUAGAAGAUCAGUGCGUGGAGGAGGUGUUUCUGAAAUCAUUGUCUGAAUCAUUCUUAAAAAAGGUUAAUGCUAUUGAAUACUCUCAUUCCUUGUAACUUGAUGGUUAAUAACGUUUUAUGUAAAGCAAUCUAACUAGUUCUUGGCAUAUUUCCUUGUCCAAUUCACAAAAAAGGUUUAAAUCAAA